rnacentral:rRNA from 1 species
UACGUAGGGUCCGAGCGUUGUCCGGAAUUACUGGGCGUAAAGAGCUCGUAGGUGGUUUGUCGCGUUGUUCGUGAAAACUCACAGCUCAACUGUGGGCGUGCGGGCGAUACGGGCAGACUUGAGUACUGCAGGGGAGACUGGAAUUCCUGGUGUAGCGGUGGAAUGCGCAGAUAUCAGGAGGAACACCGGUGGCGAAGGCGGGUCUCUGGGCAGUAACUGACGCUGAGGAGCGAAGGCGUGGGGAGCGAACAGG